CGAUGAGGUAGAGGUCGCGGUUUUUAUCAGUAAAGCGGACGAGAUGGAAGAGACAUCCCUGACUCCGUUUGAAAGGAAAAACUGCCGAAGUGUGUUUUUCAUCUCUAGAAAAGCAUGCUGGGACUGUCUCCAAAUAGGAACAGAACUGUCACGUGAGGCUUUACCAGCCGAGCGUGUUGAGCUAUCUUUCGG
rnacentral:ncRNA from 2 species